rnacentral:rRNA from 1 species
GUAACGUGUGGAUAACCUGCCUCACACAGGGGAGUAACAGUUAGAAAUGACUGCUAAUACCGCAUAAGCGCACGGUACCGCAUGGUACAGUGUGAAAAACUCCGGUGGUGUGAGAUGGAUCCGCGUCUGAUUAGGUAGUUGGUGAGGUAACGGCCCACCAAGCCGACGAUCAGUAGCCGACCUGAGAGGGUGACCGGCCACAUUGGGACUGAGACACGGCCCAAACUCCUACGGGAGGCAGCAUG